rnacentral:lncRNA from 1 species
GCCACCGCCCGCCGAGUCGACUCCGCGGUGCCAGCCCCGCUGUGACGCAGGCCGCGCCGCCCGGGAACUUCCUCCCCUGCAGAGACCACCUCGCUCCCGGGACUCGCCAGCGAGGGAUGCCGCCGGCCGCCGGGGGCCUUCUCCAGGACCAGGAGAGAAAUCCUCUCUCCGCUUCACGACGCGGCCACUCCCACCCCUGAGACGCCCACCUGGCGGACUCUGAGGGAGGAUUCGGCUGCGUCUAAUACCACCUCCACCCCUCAUCCCUCACAAUGCGCGGAAAACCACAGGCGGCUGUGCGCGCAGCGUCGGCUCAGCCACCGCAGCUCCUCCCCUGGGAUGAAAAAGCACUCUGACGUCUUGAAAGCUGGCAGCUCUCUGUUUGGAAAAUCUCUGCCCAGUGAAAAAAUGUACCGACAAGAUUACUAAGUAACACAGUCUUCUGGGAAUGCCUUAUCAAUGCCAGCUAUUUGAAGAGCACCCAAAGUCAAACUAGUGCUCCGCGCUGGCAGUCUGGAAAAGGCAGAUAUGAGAAAACUGAGCUGUAGAAAGGUUGCCUGACUUGUCUAAGAUAACACAGCUGGGAAGUUGAGGAGGCAGGUCUGACUGGUAUAAAAAACUCCAGCCCAGUGACUUCCAUACUACAAAAUGGACAAAAGAG